rnacentral:rRNA from 1 species
UACGAAGGAUUCGAGCGUUAUCCGGAUUUAUUGGGUUUAAAGGGUGCGUAGGUGGAUUAAUAAGUCAGUGGUGAAAGCCCGCAGCUUAACUGCGGAACUGCCAUUGAUACUGUUAGUCUUGAGUACAGUUGAGGCGGGCGGAAUGUGUCAUGUAGCGGUGAAAUGCUUAGAUAUGACACAGAACACCGAUUGCGAAGGCAGCUCACUAAGCUGUAACUGACACUGAGGCACGAAAGCGUGGGGAGCAAACAGG